rnacentral:rRNA from 1 species
CUAGACUCUAAUAUUUUUAGAAAUAAGCAAUCUUAUUGUGGCAUAAAUAGGAAAAGAAAUAUAGUUAGUGGUGAAAGGCCUAACAAUUUUUUCGAUAUCUGGAUAAUAAUUAAAUAUAUUUAGUAUAUAAAACAGCUAUCUAACGCUAAGGUUUUGUAGUGUCUUUAAAUUAUUUUAUAAUUUGUAAUAAUACUUUUGUUAAUAUCAUUAGUAUAAAUAUUAUCUAACAAUAAAUUUAAAAAUCAAAUUUUAAUAAAUUAAUUAUCAAUAGUAUAAAAUUAAAGGUAUUAUUUAUAAUGUAUCAAUUAGUAUAUAUAUUAAAUAUAAUUAAGGAACUCGACAGUUACUGUGUACGACUGUUUAACAAAAACAUAGCUUUAAGAUAUAAAUAUUUAAAGUUAAGUCUGCCCAGUGGAAUUUCUUAACGGCCGCAGUACCCUGACUGUGCAAAGGUAGCAUAAUCAGUUGGCUUUUAAUUGGAGUCUGGAAUCAACGAAAGCACGUAUAUAUAUUGUCUCACCCAAUAAUAUUUUAAAAUUAUUUUAAAGAGUGAAAAUCCUCUUAGCCAUUAAAAAUAGACGAGAAGACCCUUUGAAUUUUUAAAACUUGUAUGAUUACAUAUAAUAUUUUUUGUUGGGGCAACAUUAUUUCACAUAAUAAAUAAAUCUUUAUUUAAUAAUAUAUAGCGAUAAAUUUAAUUCUAAAAAAAUUACCUAAGGGAUAACAGCAUAAUUAUAUAAGUUUGAUUGUGACCUCGAUGUUGGAUUAAGAAAUAUUAAGACUAGACGUUUUAAUAAAAUUAGUUCUGUUCGAACAUUGUUUCCUACAUGAUCUGAGUUCANACCGGCGUA